rnacentral:rRNA from 1 species
AUUGAACGCUGGCGGCAUGCCUUACACAUGCAAGUCGAACGGCAGCACGGGUGCUUGCACCUGGUGGCGAGUGGCGAACGGAUGAGUAAUAUAUCGGAACGUACCUUAUUGUGGGGGAUAACGCAGCGAAAGCUGUGCUAAUACCGCAUAAUCCCUAAGGGGGAAAGCGGGGGACCGUAAGGCCUCGCGCAAUUAGAGCGGCCGAUACCUGAUUAGCUAGUUGGUGAGGUAAAGGCUCAACAAGGCAACGAUCAGUAGCUGGUCUGAGAGGACGAUCAGCCACACUGGGACUGAGACACGGCCCAGACUCCUACGGGAGGCAGCAGUGGGGAAUUUUGGACAAUGGGGGCAACCCUGAUCCAGCAAUGCCGCGUGAGUGAAGAAGGCCUUCGGGUUGUAAAGCUCUUUUGUCAGGGAAGAAACAGCAGCUCUAACACAGUUUGCGAAUGACGGUACCUGAAGAACAAGCACCGGCUAACUACGUGCCAGCCGCCGCCGUAA